rnacentral:rRNA from 1 species
CCUACGGGUGGCAGCAGUGGGGAAUAUUGCGCAAUGGGCGAAAGCCUGACGCAGCGACGCCGCGUGAGGGAUGAAGGUCUUCGGAUCGUAAACCUCUGUCAGCAGGGAAGAACGGUCACUGUGCUAAUCAGCAGUGAAUUGACGGUACCUGCAAAGGAAGCACCGGCUAACUCCGUGCCAGCAGCCGCGGUAAUACGGAGGGUGCGAGCGUUAAUCGGAAUUACUGGGCGUAAAGCGCUCGUAGGCGGUAUGUCAAGUCAAGGGUGAAAUCCCCGCGCUCAACGUGGGAACUGCCUUUGAAACUGACAAACUGGAGUGGGUGAGAGGAUAGUGGAAUUCCAGGUGUAGGAGUGAAAGCCGUAGAUAUCUGGAGGAACAUCAGUGGCGAAGGCGACUAUCUGGCACAUAACUGACGCUGAGGAGCGAAAGCGUGGGUAGCAAACAGGAUUAGAUACCCUAGUAGUC